AGCGGAAUAGUCGUGACAGUUUGCACUAAAUCAAGCAAAUUUUGACGCCCUAAUUUGUGAAAAUGGGGAUAAUAAAAAGCAUGUUGGGAACCGAGGCGAUAGCCGAGGUGUUUUAAAAAUACAAAACUUUGAGUGUGUAGUUACCACUGGUAGUUACUAGUAACUUCAAACGAAGGUAAUAGGUAUUGAAUGCUAAAUGGUAUCAAAGAGGGUCGAGUCGGGUUGUUUCCAGGAAACAAAACAUACCUUCCAGGUGAUCUCGUGUUCGUAUUUUAGCCAAUCAGCGCUCAGGAAGGGUUGUCCGAAUAGAAAUCCAUUUUGAUGUAUUCAGUCAAUUAUAUUUUUCGUUAUUCUUUAUGAAACUAGUUGAAAUUUUGUAAUUAUGUUUGGUUAUGAGAACUCUAACUCUGACAAAAAUAUGGAAUCGAAAUAAAGUAUAUUACAGGAGAUAUUCAGUUGUUUUACAGUAAUCAUAAAAUGGAUUUCUAUUUGACAACUAGUGCCAGUACUUUUCCGCGUAUCAAGAUCAUCUGGUUGUCAGUGGGGACACAAGAACAAAGCCAAAGAAAUCAUAGGGAACAUGUUAAAAUCUUUGUGGGGAACAAAAGGAACAAAGGGAAAACUUCCAAGGGAUCACAGGAACAGACACCCCCUCCCUGGUAGACUCUCAUCAAUGCAACCUUUUUAUUUUGGGCAUCAAUAUUAAGUUGAAAAAUACCUGCAACACACAAUAUCCGAAUAUCACGAUGGGAAAUUAAACUGAAGUCUGAAGCACGCGAAACAAAGUGAUUUGCCUCUGCCCUUUCAGCAUUAAACUAACAAGCUAAACUAAUAGGUAGUUUUCAUGAUCCAAUGUUUGCUAAGCGUCGUAUGUCAAACAAAGAAUUUAAGCUCGAAAUGCCUUCUAUAUUUAAAUAACAAUAAAACACGAUAUUGCUCUUAAUACACGCUAAGACAGAGAUAUCAAAAUUAACAAUCCGCUACACUGAAGCAGGAAUAUAGUUACAACGAGUAAAGUUACUAGAUCAUUAACAGACGCUAUUCCAAGCUUUUUACAAUUUGUG